AAAGCUUAAAAAUAAGAGAGGUGUACAU
rnacentral:piRNA from 1 species